AUACGGAGGGUGCAAGCGUUAAUCGGAAUUACUGGGCGUAAAGCGCACGCAGGCGGUCAAUUAAGUCAGAUGUGAAAGCCCCGAGCUUAACUUGGGAAUUGCAUCUGAAACUGGUUGGCUAGAGUCUUGUAGAGGGGGGUAGAAUUCCACGUGUAGCGGUGAAAUGCGUAGAGAUGUGGAGGAAUACCGGUGGCGAAGGCGGCCCCCUGGACAAAGACUGACGCUCAGGUGCGAAAGCGUGGGGAGCAAACAGGAUUAGAUACCCUGGUAGUCCACGCUGUAAACGAUGUCGAUUUAGAGGUUGUGGUCUUGAACUGUGGCUUCUGGAGCUAACGCGUUAAAUCGACCGCCUGGGGAGUACGGCCGCAAGGUUAAAACUCAAAUGAAUUGACGGGG
rnacentral:rRNA from 1 species